CAUCCUAAUCGGAGCGCUGCCUUUCCUGGUCAGCAGUGUAACUCUACAGAACCCAUCAACGUUGGCUGCGGUUGCCCGUCGUUAGGCAACAAAAUGACCUCGUUGCUAUGACAACCUCGAGUGACAAAGUUGAGUCUGGAAGGAAUGCUGCUGAGUUCUACUCUGGAAAGUCGCGACUAUCAAAUGUUCAAUUGUCACAAAAACGAGAUUAAAAACUGUACCACGUCAAA